GAUGAACGCUGGCGGCGUGCCUAAUACAUGCAAGUCGAGCGAACGGAUGAGGAGCUUGCUCCUCUGACGUUAGCGGCGGACGGGUGAGUAACACGUGGGUAACCUACCUAUAAGACUGGGAUAACUUCGGGAAACCGGAGCUAAUACCGGAUAAUAUUUUGAACCGCAUGGUUCGAUAGUGAAAGAUGGUCUUGCUAUCACUUAUAGAUGGACCCGCGCCGCAUUAGCUAGUUGGUAAGGUAACGGCUUACCAAGGCAACGAUGCGUAGCCGACCUGAGAGGGUGAUCGGCCACACUGGAACUGAGACACGGUCCAGACUCCUACGGGAGGCAGCAGUAGGGAAUCUUCCGCAAUGGGCGAAAGCCUGACGGAGCAACGCCGCGUGAGUGAUGAAGGUCUUCGGAUCGUAAAACUCUGUUAUUAGGGAAGAACAUAUGUGUAAGUAACUGUGCACGUCUUGACGGUACCUAAUCAGAAAGCCACGGCUAACUACGUG
rnacentral:rRNA from 1 species